UACGGAGGGUGCAAGCGUUAUCCGGAUUUACUGGGUUUAAAGGGUGUGUAGGCGGUUUAAAAAGUCAGUGGUGAAAUCUCCGAGCUCAACUUGGAAACUGCCAUUGAUACUAUUAGACUUGAAUUAUGUUGAGGUUGGCGGAAUAUAACAUGUAGCGGUGAAAUGCAUAGAUAUGUUAUAGAACACCGAUUGCGAAGGCAGCUGGCUAAACAUAUAUUGACGCUGAGUGAGCGAAAGCCAGGGGAGCAAACGGG
rnacentral:rRNA from 1 species